rnacentral:piRNA from 1 species
UCCAAAACAAGUGGCUUCCUCCUAGCGAA